UUUUGUUGAAGUUCGUUUUCGCGGCCGGUUGCAAGGAGAAAAAAAAAAGAAUUUCCCUGGAUUUUCCCAAAUUUUUUUUUUUUUUCGUGAUAAAAGCGAGUGACGACACUUAAGCUUAAUUCGGGCUGUUCGCUGCUGAAAGUGGAAUUCAUAUUUAUUGGAGUGGUUCGUUCUUGGAAGAAGAUUAAAUUGCCAUAUAUUUAUGUUACGUUACUCUCACUACCGAAUUCACCGUGACGUAUCGGAUGUCGCACGCAUCAGCUUCCUGGAUGCGGGACUAUCCGUUGUGCAACUGGAUCUAGAGAUACGACGAUUGUGAUGCUGGAAUAAGAUAGACGAUGUUUGGAGGUGCCAAAUAAAUAGUCCAAGUGUGGUGGUUUUCAAAAGAACAAAAUAAAGGCACGAGACUGAAUUUAAGCCGCUGAAGACAGUAUAUCUGCACAGUUGAACGCUAUAAAGUUCCAAUUCUGGGAUUAAACUAAAGGAGUAGGAAGCGCUGAUUAACAUUCAUCGUUUACAUGAAUACGAUCCGGCAUUGGUAUUUCUAUAUGAACCCGUUAAUACGUUUCAAACGUAUCGGUGUCCAAUCAGUCCUGCAAGAUGGUGGUCUUAUACGGUUCGGAACAAAACGCAGCUAUCUCGUGGAUAAGAUAAAUGUGGUUGGACGCAUUAAGGGAAAUAUGUUCCUUAUUCAAGUGACGACGAAACCAUUCAGAUUACCACAUGGAAGGCAUAUGCCUAGCUCUAUUGCUGAGCAGUAUGUUUGCGUUAGAUCUUCGGAAGGUCCUUGGAAUUUGAGAAGACGAUGGACUUCUUAGGAGUCUAUCAGCGAGUGCAAGGAUGUCUCGAGAAUGUCCACAACCAAAGAACGAAGUUUACACGUUGGUUCGAAAGAGGAUAUUUUGUCUAUUCAAACGAUUAAGUUUCAACGAAGCUCCCGGGUGUUUGAGAAACAACUUUCUGUUUGAAUGCUGAUAGUGUCAACGGAUAUGAAAAUUAAUUUGUACUCCACGAUAAGAUACUUCAGCGACAGAAAUGGGUAUAAUGGAGUUGCCGUUCACACACGAUAACAAAACAACCGUGGAGGAACAAUUCUAUGCAUCGUCAUCUUCGUGGGUUUUGAAUCGAAACCAUUGCCACAUCCUUAUCCGAGUUUUCUUCGUCUCAGCAACGAACCUGCGCCAAACCUUACUAAGGCAAUUGCAUCCGGGUUUGACUGCUUAGCUGAUGCGCCGAGCGUAAUGAACGAAUUGUGGAACAAACCGAGGAACAAACUUCCUCUCUCGGGUAUUAUGGCGCAACGAUUCGGGUUUUCCAUUUGCUUGAUCCUGAUCCCGGUAGAGCAAGACAACGACGAUUCCCACAUAAAUUAUUAUAAUAAAUUGUAAAACAUUGCUACUGGAAGCAGUUUAGAUUUUAAGAUGAAAAUGAUAU